UCUUUUAGACAUUGGGUAGGGGAGCGUUCUGUAAGCCGUUGAAGGUGAAUCGUAAGGUUUGCUGGAGGUAUCAGAAGUGCGAAUGCUGACAUGAGUAACGACAAAGGGGGUGAAAAACCUCCUCGCCGGAAGACCAAGGGUUCCUGUCCAACGUUAAUCGGGGCAGGGUGAGUCGACCCCUAAGGUGAGGCCGAAAGGCGUAAUCGAUGGGAAACGGGUUAAUAUUCCCGUACUUCUGACUAUUGCGAUGGGGGGACGGAGAAGGCUAGGUGGGCCAGGCGACGGUUGUCCUGGUUCAAGUGCGUAGGCUUGAGAGUUAGGUAAAUCCGGCUCUCUCUAAGGCUGAGACACGACGUCGAGCUACUACGGUAGUGAAGUCAUUGAUGCCAUGCUUCCAGGAAAAGCCUCUAAGCUUCAGAUAGUCAGGAAUCGUACCCCAAACCGACACAGGUGGUCGGGUAGAGAAUACCAAGGCGCUUGAGAGAACUCGGGUGAAGGAACUAGGCAAAAUGGUACCGUAACUUCGGGAGAAGGUACGCUCUUGAUGGUGAAGUCCCUCGCGGAUGGAGCUGACGAGAGUCGCAGAUACCAGGUGGCUGCAACUGUUUAUUAAAAACACAGCACUGUGCAAAAUCGCAAGAUGACGUAUACGGUGUGACGCCUGCCCGGUGCCGGAAGGUUAAUUGAUGGGGUUAGCGCAAGCGAAGCUCUUGAUCGAAGCCCCGGUAAACGGCGGCCGUAACUAUAACGGUCCUAAGGUAGCGAAAUUCCUUGUCGGGUAAGUUCCGACCUGCACGAAUGGCGUAAUGAUGGCCACGCUGUCUCCACCCGAGACUCAGUGAAAUUGAAAUCGCUGUGAAGAUGCAGUGUACCCGCGGCUAGACGGAAAGACCCCGUGAACCUUUACUACAGCUUGGCACUGAACAUUGAACCUACAUGUGUAGGAUAGGUGGGAGGCUAUGAAGACGUGACGCCAGUUGCGUUGGAGCCGUCCUUGAAAUACCACCCUUGUAUGUUUGAUGUUCUAACUUAGACCCAUUAUC
rnacentral:rRNA from 1 species